rnacentral:lncRNA from 1 species
UUUUUUUAUGUUCGUGCUACGCUCAAUCAUUGCACAUCCUGGUACACUGCUAGAGGCAUUCAUACAGAGUCAUACUUUGUUCUAGGCAUCGAGUUGUAAUAUUGAGUUGUAAGUAAACAGAAGUGUGAUGAUCAUCAUUAUUAGAGCAUUGUCCUAGUGAGAAAAGGAUGAUGGAGACUAUGAUUCCCCCAUAAGUCGGGAUGAGAAUCCAGACGAAAAAUGAAAAAUUGGGGAGGCCAAAUGAUCCCACCACAAACAAGGAAAAAAAUUGGGGAGGCGACAAAAAAAGUAAGGAAAAAAAUAAAGAAAAAAGGGGAAAAUGAGAGAAAAGAGAGAAGGA